AUUGAACGCUGGCGGCAUGCCUUACACAUGCAAGUCGAACGGCAGCACGGGAGCAAUCCUGGUGGCGAGUGGCGAACGGGUGAGUAAAGUAUCGGAACGUGCCCAGUCGUGGGGGUUAACGUAGCGAAAGUUACGCUAAUACCGCAUACGAUCGAUGGAUGAAAGCGGGGGAUCGCAAGGCCUCGCGCGAUUGGAGCGGCCGAUAUCAGAUUAGGUAGUUGGUGGGGUAAAGGCUCACCAAGCCGACGAUCUGUAGCUGGUCUGAGAGGACGACCAGCCACACUGGGACUGAGACACGGCCCAGACUCCUACGGGAGGCAGCAGUGGGGAAUUUUGGACAAUGGGCGAAAGCCUGAUCCAGCCAUGCCGCGUGCAGGAUGAAGGCCUUCGGGUUGUAAACUGCUUUUGUACGGAACGAAAAGGUUUGGCCUAAUAAGCUGAGCUCAUGACGGUACCGUAAGAAUAAGCACCGGCUAACUACGUGCCAGCCGCCGCUGUAA
rnacentral:rRNA from 1 species